GACGAACGCUGGCGGCGUGCUUAACACAUGCAAGUCGAACGGAAAGGCCCUGCUUUUGUGGGGUGCUCGAGUGGCGAACGGGUGAGUAACACGUGAGUAACCUGCCCUUGACUUUGGGAUAACUUCAGGAAACUGGGGCUAAUACCGGAUAGGAGCUCCUGCUGCAUGGUGGGGGUUGGAAAGUUUCGGCGGUUGGGGAUGGACUCGCGGCUUAUCAGCUUGUUGGUGGGGUAGUGGCUUACCAAGGCUUUGACGGGUAGCCGGCCUGAGAGGGUGACCGGCCACAUUGGGGCUGAGGUCCGGCCCAGACUCCUACGGGUGGCAGCAGGGGGGAAUAUUGCACCAUGGGCGGAAGCCUGAUGCAGCAACGCCGCGUGCGGGAUGACGGCCUUCGGGUUGUAAACCGCUUUCGCCUGUGACGAAGCGUGAGUGACGGUAAUGGGUAAAGAAGCACCGGCUAACUACGUG
rnacentral:rRNA from 1 species